rnacentral:rRNA from 1 species
AGAGUUUGAUCCUGGCUCAGAACGAACGCUGGCGGCAGGCUUAACACAUGCAAGUCGAACGCAUGUCUUCGGACAUGAGUGGCAGACGGGUGAGUAACGCGUGGGAACGUACCCUUCAGUUCGGAAUAACCCAGGGAAACUUGGGCUAAUACCGGAUACGUCCGUAAGGAGAAAGAUUUAUCGCUGAAGGAUCGGCCCGCGUCGGAUUAGCUAGUUGGUGGGGUAACGGCCCACCAAGGCAACGAUCCGUAGCUGGUCUGAGAGGAUGAUCAGCCACACUGGGACUGAGACACGGCCCAGACUCCUACGGGAGGCAGCAGUGGGGAAUAUUGGACAAUGGGCGCAAGCCUGAUCCAGCCAUGCCGCGUGAGUGAAGAAGGCCCUAGGGUUGUAAAGCUCUUUCAGCGGGGACGAUAAUGACGGUACCCGCAGAAGAAGCCCCGGCUAACUUCGUGCCAGCAGCCGCGGUAAUACGAAGGGGGCUAGCGUUGUUCGGAAUUACUGGGCGUAAAGCGCGCGUAGGCGGAUAUUUAAGUCAGGGGUGAAAUCCCAGGGCUCAACCCUGGAACUGCCUUUGAUACUGGAUGUCUGGAGUUCGGGAGAGGUGAGUGGAAUUCCGAGUGUAGAGGUGAAAUUCGUAGAUAUUCGGAGGAACACCAGAAGCGAAGGCGGCUCACUGGCCCGAUACUGACGCUGAGGCGCGAAAGCGUGGGGAGCAAACAGGAUUAGAUACCCUAGUAGUCC